GAAUGAGAUGACAGUGGAAUGCGGGGGGGGGGGGGUUGUAGAGAGACAUUUGGCAAAUGUGUGCGCUUGUGUGUCUGUAUGAAUCAAAUGUGUACUUUAGUGUGAACUUGGAUCAGUUUUGUACCGUAAUUAAUAAGUCAGCUUUUUGUUCCAUGGUUGCAAAACGUUGUAUUCUGCUGCUCCAAUCAUCCCCUACUUAGUUGAUAGUGUUUCCACGCGACAUUUUAUGUUUAAUUAAGAGCAAGAAGAAGAGGCAAAGAAGAACCCCAACUAAGCUCCAGUAUUAGCCGUGGUUCCCGCAGAGCACCGAGAAUAUAUACCUUGUGUUGCCACCGGGACGUCUCGCUGUCGGGGUGAGGGUGACAAGCCUGUGAAGCAUCUAAAUUAAGCUGCGAGUGACUCGACUCGAGCAACGUGCGCCAUUGACGUCAGCUAUACACCAAUACACAGAGUCUCAGGCGGAGAUGAAGCUCCUACGCCUCCUCCUCCUCCUCCUCUUCCUCCCCAUGGUGUCAGGAGUCAACAGGCAACAGGAGCACGAGAGGGGAUACGACACGGCUGCUUAACUGGGUCAGCCGGGGACAUACUGCAGCAGUCCACGCCGAUUGAGGUUAACCUCUGGCUGCUACAAAAUCGGAGGGGCUGGGGGAUUUUUAAAAAAAAACCUGACCGGAACGAGUUUUCCCACAGCAGAGGGGAAAAUAUUUGCUUGUUGGAGAUUUAUUUUGUUGUAGUUGGUCGUAAAAGUGGGGCUUUGAGUCUGUGUUUAUUCUAAGACUCAUUUUGUGAGCAACCAAUAAGGAUGGACAUUCUGCAAUAAAAAGACAAAG